GUGAAUACCAGGGGAGUAAUCAUGUAAGCAAAAGACAACGAAGGCCACAGUCACAAAUAAAAUGUAAUCAUGUUUUCAAUUUGUUGGUGAUUGUCGCCAAACUUAACAAAUACGGUCAUAGUGAAUACCACAUAGAUUCUUGGCUGAUGACAUCUUACUGAAUUUCGGCGAGUCCCCUAAAAAAAGAAUACAACGAAAUCCGUUGCAAGACGAGAAACAUUAUUAUAAAUAAUAUUAGAAUAUCUAGCAUUCCUAAAAUCGAACUAUAUGUAGGCAUUUAUGUAGGUUGCUGGCGAAUUCUACUGAAAGAGCGCAAGAGCUGCUACAGCCUAAAGAAGCUGGGAAGUGCCGCAAAUGUUUGUAGGGCGCUGCACAAUAAUUGUGUCCACUAGAAAAUCGAAGCAGAUCAUUUGAUACUCCAGCACCGCCGACCUAUGAAGAUGAUGCCGUUGAUAUUUGUGUGGAGGCUCUUUAAUCUCUUUUAGUUGAAAAAAAACUUUUUAUAUAUUGGCAAUUGAAGGUGGAUUUCUGCGUAAAAUAGAUCAGGGCUAUAAAUGAAAGUAUAUCCAGAUUUUAUCACAAAAUCAUCUGAGCAGUUUCAGGAUAAUAAAAACAAAAUGAAA